rnacentral:rRNA from 1 species
ACUCCUACGGGAGGCAGCAGUGGGGAAUAUUGGACAAUGGGCGGAAGCCUGACCCAGCAACGCCGCGUGAGGGAUGACGGCCUUCGGGUUGUAAACCUCUUUCAGUAGGGACGAAGCGCAAGUGACGGUACCUACAGAAGAAGCACCGGCCAACUACGUGCCAGCAGCCGCGGUAAUACGUAGGGUGCGAGCGUUGUCCGGAAUUAUUGGGCGUAAAGGGCUCGUAGGCGGUUUGUCGCGUCGGGAGUGAAAACACCGGGCUUAACUCGGUGCUUGCUUUCGAUACGGGCAGACUAGAGGUAUGCAGGGGAGAACGGAAUUCCUGGUGUAGCGGUGAAAUGCGCAGAUAUCAGGAGGAACACCGGUGGCGAAGGCGGUUCUCUGGGCAUUACCUGACGCUGAGGAGCGAAAGUGUGGGGAGCGAACAGGAUUAGAUACCCUGGUAGUCCACACCGUAAACGUUGGGCGCUAGGUGUGGGGCCUAUUCCAUGGGUUCCGUGCCGCAGCUAACGCAUUAAGCGCCCCGCCUGGGGAGUACGGCCGCAAGGCUAAAACUCAAAGGAAUUGACGGGGGCCCGCACAAGCGGCGGAGCAUGCGGAUUAAUUCGAUGCAACGCGAAGAACCUUACCUGGGUUUGACAUAUGCCGGAAAGCCAUAGAGAUAUGGCC